AGGCCGGCUGCGGUGGGCACAGUGUGGGUCUGUGUGGAGCCCCCCCUCGGCCUGCCCGGGGGGCAGCCAGCCCAGGUGCCAACAGAGGGCCCGUGUUCCAGCUCCCAGGGAAACAGGGCGCCCUGUGUCUGUGGAGGGACAGACAGGGCCUCAGAGGGACGCGCCAGGAGCCAGCAAGUCUGCCGGAGCGACCACGCGGAGCUGUCGGCCACAGGGGCCUGGGCGGCCCUUCCCGGGGGGCUGUCCCAGGGACUCUGCUGUUGGUGGGGCCCAGCCCUGUGGCACAGCUCAGGGGCGGACAUCUCAGGCAGCGGCAGUUGUGGGAACCCGAGGGAUCCAUCGCCUAGGAAAGGCUGGUGCCACGGGGUGCCCCUGCCCAGCCUCUGCAAGGGGGAGACCUGAGGAGCCAACAGCCCUCCAUGCCCCCUGCCCGGAACCCUCCCGUGCGGCUGUCCUCCCCAUAGUGGGUCCCGCAUCCCACAGCCCCUCCUCCCGGGCUCCUUCACCCCGCUCCAGGCUCCUCUUGUCCCAGGGCAGCUGUGUACCACUGGUCUCCCGGGGACCCCGUAGUGGGGCUGCAGGUCCUGGUCGAGGGGGGCAGGGCAGGAGCCCACAGCAGGAGUGACUGGGCACCCCGUUCAUGGGACCCACAGCCCAGAGACUCCGCAGCACUGUCCUGGGACCACGGGAAGGGCCUGCAAGAGCCCUGGAGCAGACACCCUCAUCCUCCGUUGGGGAUGGCAGCUGUGACUUCCCAGGGGACCUGGGGGCGGGGUCACAGGGCAUGUGGGGUCAAGUCACACAGCAUGAAGUGGACCAGGGCCGUCAUUAAGCGAACAGUUUGUGGUGUGGAGUGCACUUCCAAGGCCGUGCAUCCACCUCCCCUCCAUCCAGCCCAUUUCCAUCUUCCAGACAGAGCCCCUAGCCCCAGGGAAUCCAUUUCACGCCUCUGUGGGUCCCUGUUCGGGACGCUUCAUAUAAACGGAAUCACGGCCCUCAGCCCUCCCAUCGGGCAUGUCAGCUUCUUCCCUCACGUCUGAACUCUCCACAGAGUCUGUGCGAGACGCCCAGCCCCCGGCUGCCUGUGUUCUGUGUGACAGAGGGUCCCACCUGCCGGUGUGGGGCAAUGGGGCCAGUGGCCCCCACACGUGUCAGGCCGAUGCCUGUGGUCAGGAAGUCCCCUGGGGGCGGAGGCCUGGGCAUCUGAAGGGGUGCUCAGGGGGUGGGAGUCAUGGUGUGAUCUGCCCUCCCCAUCUCGGCCAGCCUCGGGGGCCUGUCACUGUGGAAGGCAGGUCUGCUACCACCUCUGGGUACCCCACCAAGGUCACAAAAAUAGGGGGGCCCCUGGACCCAGCUGGGGGCCCCGAGGACCCACUCCAUGGAGCCCUUGGCUCUGACCCGUGAGUGUCCAGCCCUGCUCAGGGAGACCCCCUCAGCCAGCAGGCAGAGGAGCCCUAAUGGUGGGGGUCCAGUCUCUGGAUCCAGGUUCCCAGAGACGUCCACUCACCUGGGGCGGACAGGUGACCUGAGGUCGGGUUGUGACAGCCUCGGCUGGAGUGGAGCCUGCACCCUCUGCAGACCCAGAGUCCGUCACACCUGACCCUUCCAAGGCUGGGUUCCCCUCACCUCAUCAGUCUUUGGCAGAUAGUCCCAAGGCCUCACCACACUGAGCCCAUCUCCCCCAAAUGUCUGGGGCCCCUGUGUGAUCAGGGCCGUGGGGCCUUUACACUAGCAACCAGUGCCAGCACCCACACGGCAACCCCCUGGCUCUCCAGGGCCUGCUCUGCGCCCUGACACCAAGCUGCCCCGGUCCCGCACCAGGCCCUCAGUGUGGGUCUGCUGGGUCAACUGUGGGCCUGGGGGAAGGGAGAGGCACCCUGGAGUCCCCAGAGCAGCCUCCCUGGCUGGGUCAGGCCCUCAGCCAUUCUCACUGCAGCUUGGAGGUCUCAGACUGCCCAGGUCCUCAUCUGAGCAGGAAGGUUUGGGAGAAUGGCGGCUUUGGAGCUUUAGAUCAGCAACACACAAGAAUACCACAGACGGCGGCAGCUGGCCCACAGUGGCAGAAAAGAAAGCUUCCUCGUCAAAACAGUAUCGCAGCAGCAUGGAGACCUAGAGAUAAACGGGGCAUAGUAACCAUCCGAGAAAUCGUCCCACAUGCGGCCAGGUACCGUCCAAUGAGAACAACAAGAGAAAUCGUCCCACACACACGGCCAGGUACUGUCCAAUGAGAACAACCCGAGAAAUCAUCCCACACGCGGCCAGGUACCGUCCGACGAGAACCCGAGAAAUUGUCCUACACACAGCUAGGUACCUUCCGACGACAACGGCCAGAGAAAUCGUCUCACAUGUGGCCAAGUACCAUCCGACGACAACAACCCGAUAAAUCGUCCCACACACGUGGCCAGGUACCUUCCAAUGAGAACAACCUGAGAAAUCGUCCCACACACGCGGCCAGGUACCCUCUGACGAGAACAACACGAGAAAUCAUCCCACAUGCAGCCACGUACCCUCUGACAAGAACAGCCCGAGAAAUCGUCCCAUACGCAGCCACGUACCUUCCAACGAGAACAGCCCGAGAAAUCGUCCCACACGUGGCCAGGUACCAUCUGAUGAGAACAACCCGAGAAAUCGUCCCACACGCGGCCAGGUACCAUCCGAUGAGAACAACCUGAGAAAUCGUCCCACACGCGGCCAGGUACCUUCCAAUGAGAACAACCUGAGAAAUCGUCCCACACACGCGGCCAGGUACCUUCCAAUGAGAACAACCUGAGAAAUCGUCCCACACACGCGGCCAGGUACCGGCUGACUAGAACAACCAGAG
rnacentral:lncRNA from 1 species